GAUGAACGCUGGCGGCGUGCCUAACACAUGCAAGUCGAGCGAGGGUUUGCUCAGUAUUGAGUAUUCUAAAACUAGAAUGUUCAAUUCUGAGCAAAACCAAGCGGCGGACGGGUGAGUAACGCGUGGGUAACCUGCCCUAUACACAUGGAUAACAUACUGAAAAGUUUACUAAUACAUGAUAAUAUAUAUUUGCGGCAUCGCAGAUAUAUCAAAGUGUUAGCGGUAUAGGAUGGACCCGCGUCUGAUUAGCUAGUUGGUGAGAUAACUGCCCACCAAGGCGACGAUCAGUAGCCGACCUGAGAGGGUGAUCGGCCACAUUGGAACUGAGACACGGUCCAAACUCCUACGGGAGGCAGCAGUGGGGAAUAUUGCACAAUGGGGGAAACCCUGAUGCAGCAACGCCGCGUGAAGGAAGAAGGCCUUCGGGUUGUAAACUUCUGUCCUAGGGGAAGAAACAAAUGACAUUACCCUUGGAGGAAGCCCCGGCUAACUACGUGCCAGCAGCCGCGGUAAUACGUAGGGGGCGAGCGUUAUCCGGAAUUAUUGGGCGUAAAGAGUGCGUAGGUGGCAUCUUAAGCGCAGGGUUUAAGGCAAUGGCUCAACCAUUGUUCGCCUUGCGAACUGGGGUGCUUGAGUGCAGGAGGGGAAAGUGGAAUUCCUAGUGUAGCGGUGAAAUGCGUAGAUAUUAGGAGGAAUACCAGUGGCGAAGGCGACUUUCUGGACUGCAACUGACACUGAGGCACGAAAGCGUGGGGAGCAAACAGG
rnacentral:rRNA from 1 species